GCCCGGGUGGCUCAGUCGGUUGAGCGUCUGACUCUUGGUUUUGGCUCAGGUCAUGAUCUCACGGUCGUGAGUUCAAGCCCCGCGUCGGGCU
rnacentral:tRNA from 1 species